CCUACGGGUGGCAGCAGUGAGGAAUAUUGGUCAAUGGCCGGAAGGCUGAACCAGCCAUGCCGCGUGAAGGUCAGUGCCCUAUGGGCGUUAAACUUCUUUUGUGCGGGAGCAAUAAUGGUCACGUGUGGCCAGACGAGAGUACCGUAAGAAUAAACAUCGGCUAACCCCGUUCCAGCAGCCGCGGUAAUACGGGGGAGGCACGCGUUAUCCGGGUUUUUUGGGUUUAAAGGGUGCGUAGGCUGGGAGGUAAGUCAGCGGUGAAAUGCCCCCGCUCAACGGGGUGAAGGGCCAUUGAUACUGCCUGUCUGGAAUGCGGAUGCCGUGGGAGGAAUGUGGGGUGUAGCGGUGAAAUGCAUAGAUAUCACGCAGAACUCCGAUUGCGAAGGCAUCUCACGAAUCCGCGAUUGACGCUGAUGCACGAAAGCGUGGGUAUCAAACAGGAUUAGAUACCCUUGUAGUC
rnacentral:rRNA from 1 species